CCUACGGGCGGCUGCAGUGGGGAAUAUUGGACAAUGGAGGGAACCCUGAUCCAGCCAUGCCGCGUGUGUGAAGAAGGCCCUCGGGUUGUAAAGCACUUUCAGUGAGGAAGAACGCCUGGUGGUUAAUACCCAUCAGGAAAGACAUCACUCACAGAAGAAGCACCGGCUAACUCCGUGCCAGCAGCCGCGGUAAUACGGAGGGUGCGAGCGUUAAUCGGAAUUACUGGGCGUAAAGCGCGCGUAGGUGGCUUGAUAAGCCGGUUGUGAAAGCCCCGGGCUCAACCUGGGAACGGCAUCCGGAACUGUCAAGCUAGAGUGCAGGAGAGGAAGGUAGAAUUCCCGGUGUAGCGGUGAAAUGCGUAGAGAUCGGGAGGAAUACCAGUGGCGAAGGCGGCCUUCUGGACUGACACUGACACUGAGGUGCGAAAGCGUGGGUAGCAAACAGGAUUAGAUACCCUAGUAGUC
rnacentral:rRNA from 1 species